rnacentral:rRNA from 1 species
GAUGAACGCUGGCGGCGUGCCUAACACAUGCAAGUCGAACGGACGGACGAUAAGCUUUUGGCUUUGAUGGUGGCGGCGGACGGGUGGGUAAGACGUAGAUAACCUCCCUAUAAUACUGGGAUAACUACGGAAAGCCGGAGAUAAUACCGGAGAAUAUGUUGAACCGCAUGGUUCAGAAGUGAUAGACGCUCUGGCUGUCACUUUUAGACGGAUCCGGGCUGGAUUGGCUAGUUGGUAAGGUAACGGCUUACCAAGGCGACGAUGCAUAGCGGACCUGAGAGGGUGAUCGGCCACACUGGAACUGAGACACGGUCCAGACUCCUACGGGAGGCAGCAGUGGGGAAUGUUGGACAAUGGGCGAAAGCCUGACCCAGCGAUGCCGCGUGGGUGAAGAAGGGCUUCGGAUCGUAAAGCGCUGUUAUUGGGGAAGAACAGAAGGGUAUGUAAGUGUGGCCGUCUUGACGGUACCCAAUGAGAAAGCCCCGGCUAACUACGUG